GCGCGAAAACUCCGCAAUGCGCGAAAGCGUGACGGGGUUACCCCGAGUGCCGUCCGCUGAGGAUGGCUUUUGCCUGGUAUAACUCGCCGGGUGAAUAAGAGGAGGGCAAGUCUGGUGUCAGCCGCCGCGGUAAUACCAGCUCCUCGAGUGGUUGGGACGAUUAUUGGGUCUGAAGCGUCCGUAGCCGGCCGGAAAAGUUCCCCGUUAAAUCUGGCGAUUCAAUCGUUAGGCUGCGGGGAAUACUUUUUCGGCUUGGGGGCGAGGGAGGUCGGCGGUAGUCCCGGGGUAGGGGCGAAAUCCUAUAAUCCCGGGAGGACCACCAGUGGCGAAGGCGGCCGACUAAAACGCGCCCGACGGUGAGGGACGAAAGCUGGGGGAGCGAACGGGAUUAGAUACCCCGGUAGUCCCAGCUGUAAACGAUGCAGGCUAGGUGUUGGGUCGGCUACGAGCUGUCCCAGUGCCGCAGGGAAGCCAUUAAGCCUGCCACCUGGGAAGUACGGUCGCAAGGCUGAAUUUCUUGGAAAUUUAGAAACGCUGAAUUUCCAGAACAGUUCACUUAAAGGAAUUGGC
rnacentral:rRNA from 1 species